GCGCCGGUGGUGUAAGGCGAACAUCGCUGCGGAAAGCAGAAGAUGCGGGUUCGAGUCCCGCCUGGCGCA
rnacentral:tRNA from 1 species